UACGUAGGGGGCUAGCGUUGUCCGGAAUCAUUGGGCGUAAAGCGCGUGUAGGCGGUCCGGUAAGUCCGCUGUGAAAGUCGGGGGCUCAACCCUCGGAUGCCGGUGGAUACUGUCGGGCUUGAGUACGGAAGAGGCGAGUGGAAUUCCUGGUGUAGCGGUGAAAUGCGCAGAUAUCAGGAGGAACACCAAUUGCGAAGGCAGCUAUCUGGCGGUGCACUGACGCUGAUGCGCGAAAGCGUGGGGAGCAAACAGG
rnacentral:rRNA from 1 species